UUGUAUCUUGGAGUUCCUUUGAACGCUUCAUGUGAGGGGCUAGCUAGUCUAGUUAUCUAAACACCCUUUGGAAAGGAUAGUCCUUCUUUAAUGAAGUGUUUGGGGGAACUCUUAGGUUCAA
rnacentral:pre_miRNA from 1 species